GCAGGGGAGACCCACGUGCCGGUUGCUGCGACCUGUCGCUUGAGGAGCCAGAGCGCCGGUCGGGCCGGCGCCGUCGAGCAUUUGCCCAGAGGAAGGGAAGUGUCGCGGUUGAGCACGAGCGGCCAGCACCGACACGCGCGCGCAUCGAAGCCGUGUCUCUACCGCAGAGAUUACCGUCUGCAGUCGACCGUAUGGGGAAGUGCCACGGUCGAGGACGCGGCCAGCCUCGACGCCGG
rnacentral:lncRNA from 1 species